UUGGCAUCCUUGGUGAUAUUUAGCGCCCUCUGAUUAUUCCGCACAUUUGAUGGUGCUACAUAGCCUUCCCGGUUUGGUGCCUUCUUUUGAUAAUUACUUACUUACUAGCUGAUUUAAAUAUGAUGCAAGAGGAGGCAGUUUUUUUAAAUUUACAUAUUUACUAAAAAAAGGAAUACAGUACCUACAUGUACUAUAUUGUCGUGUGUGCAUUACAACAUGGUACAAAGUGUAGGAACACAAGGUUUUCAAAAGUCAUUUGUAGUCAGCAAUGCAUGAGAAAAUUCCUUUAUUUCUAGGCUGGUGCAGCAUAUUUGGCGUUCUUGAGGUACAGGCAGGGAUCAGAUCAAGCAUUUGCCCCAAGUUAUGAGGCUGAUCCCACCAAUAUGGGUGGAUAUAACAGCUAUCCAGAUGCCACAGAUCCUGAUGGAGGCUAUUCUCAGCCUCCAUUUGCUGGCCAGCCACCCCAACCUCAGUCAGGUAUGCAGCAGGCACCACCCUAUUAGACUGCAAGUGGGUGUCUUAAGGCUCAGCUAGUUGGUCAACUUCACUAGUCAGCACUGCUCAGCUGGAUAGCACCAACACUCCUGCCGCCAGUAGCCACCAAGUAUUGCCCUGAUAUUUGCCAGCUUUCCCUGGGGGCUGGGCCAUUCAGGAAGUGUCACUAGUCAGGGGAGGACACAGUCCCUGUGCAGUGUUAAGCUGAGAUUGUAGGAUAAAUAGGAACAAUAUUACCAAAGGUGAGGCUUAGGUAAGAGAAGAAGUUUUGUUAACUUGAGAACUCGCCUUGCUCAUCUUUAGCGCAAUUUUUAGAGAAAGGUCUCUUAUUAAUAUGGGAAAACUUGUGAAGGUAAACUCUUGUUCUGUUAGAAGUGUUGUUGGUCGAGUAGUAUGUUGACUUUCUAAGUAAUUUUUGUUAAUUUUAGCCUUAACAAUUAUUUAAUUUCGACACUUGGGAUGGGUACAUUUAAUGAGCAUUGUAGCAGCCCUAGAGGUGUGCAUCUAUUUAAUGCAAAGAGGAGGCUUUACAAAAGUGUGUGUUUACUUGAUCAUCAAACAAAAAAGUUGCAUACAGUUGUGGUAGUGUGUGUAGCAGUGUUAACUCCUUAGUACAUAUUCCUAUCAGCACUACUAUGGUACAUUAGUACAGUAUACUGUACUUAGGUUAUUCUCUGCUUUCUUGACCAACUCACUUAUCACUAACAUCAGUAUACUGUGCUUUGGUUAUUCACUGCUUUCUUGCUGAAUUAAAUUAUCAUCAAAUUUGGUUCCUUAUAUUGUCUUUCAUGUAACUUAAGUUGGGAAUUCAAAUUCCUUUAUAAAUAUUUGAUUUCAACUUUGUUUUGAGCAUCACUGAACCCUCAAAUUCUAACACAAGGCAGAGAGAGAGAGAAUGCAGGUGAUUAUACAGGAGGAAGGUAGGUUACAAAAACAUUAAACACGAAUGUCCCUACAAAGGCAGACAAACCUUCAGAGAAAUUGCAGAAAUAGAGCUCACUCAUUCUAGAAUUAGAAUUACAAAAAAAAAAACAGCCAUCAAAGAGAGUCACAAAAUAGUAAAAUACGUGUGCAAAGAACAAAUCAAAAGCCUCUGGGAGUAGAGGCCCCAUAAUUACAAGAUGAGAUACUGUACACUGAGGACAAUAAGUGAGCAAAAUACUGAAGGAACAAUAUGAAUGUUUAUCAUAGCAAUGGCCUAAAGGAAAGUGGAAGAUUAUAACUACAUAAACUCUGCCAAUGCAAAAAGAUGGAUGUUAGAUAUCACAAUAAACCCCACAGCCUUCAAAAAAAAAAAAAAAUGACAACAUACAUGACUCCUGGGCUAGAUUCCUGGAAUUUUUGUUAUAAAGUGCAAAGUACCAUUAGCAAGGGCAGUGUAAAACCCGGAGGAAAUGUCUAAAGGUACGCGACAGGUGUAGACUUAAAAUCUGCUGCAGUUUUUGUUCCACCUAAAAUGGGAAGUAGUUAAAAAUUGGCAAAAAAAAAUAUAAUAAAAACUUAAGUGGAAAAGAAUGAGUUAUGCAAUCUUGGUAAACAAGACUUUUGGCAGGAAGAUCUUUGUAUUUUGCAACGAUUUGAUUGCCGACAAAAUUAUCAGGAUUACAAUAUACACAAACCAAAAUAUAUAUACAGUACUGUCUUGUAUACACAGAUUUUGCAGAUUUUAAAUUUCCAAACGAACAAUUAUAAAAUGGCAGUUAACCAAACGAAAGUCGGCUCGAGUAUGGUGUGACACUAAAUUCCAGUGUACAGUUAUCGUAUUGUUGCUCUUCCUCAGAUGAUAGGAAUACAAGCCACAGUCUUGUCAUCCUUUGCUAACAAUACCAAAAUUAGAAUGAACAUUAUCUUGGGAAAGAUGCAGAAAAAUUACAAUUUGGUAUUAACAAGGUCUUCCAAUGGGCAACAGAAAAUAAUUACUUUCAACUGUGAUAAAUUCCAAUUACACUUCAGUACUUAAAAGGUGUAAAAGAUACAAGACACCAUUAUCUUUGUAGAAACAAGUUUGGUGAGAUUGCAGAUCUGGAAAGUGUUCAUGCAUUAUAUCGAUGAAGCAUUUAAACUACUGGAAUGAACUCGAAGCACUCAAACUAUACUCCUUUGAAUGAAGGUGGGCGGUAUAUCUAGUAAUAUACAUGCAGAAAAAACUGGGAGGUUAAGCUCCAAACCUACAUAAUAAAAUUAUAAUGUGCUUGAGAGAUUUGGUAGGACGUAUAAAAUGACCAGUGAAAAGUUGGAGUUCCAUAAGCAUAAUUAGAGAAUAGAAUAGAAACAUAGGAGAUGUAUGACUCUUUGGUGUCUUGUCAAAACAAAUAUAAGAAAUGCCACUGGAACAGUGGAAGCUAUCAAGAGAGAACUAGACAAGUUUCUGCUGGAGUUGCCAGAUCAGCCUGGCUCUGAUUGCUAUAUGGUCUUUUAGGCUAUGAAGACAAAUGGCCUCACAUUCCAGUUCAUCACCAGGGAAGUGUGACCACAGGCCAGGCUGAGGGAGUAGAAGAAAUCUUGAAAUUGUGAACUGGUAAUUAAGAGAAUUGUAAUAUUUUAUUUUUUUUAUAACUUUUGAAAAAGUAGUUUUAUUUAAUCAAUGAUGAUAAUGUAAAGUAAUUGUCACACUAUCAGAAGAUCGGCAUUAUUAAAUAAUGAUCUUUUAAAAAUAAAUUCGUAAAUUGCAUUUUAAUCGUGGAGAGUAUUGUGGUCAGUACAGGUAUAUGAAUAAAAUAAACUUCGUGUAUGUUUAGGUGGGUAAUGUUAUGUUUGUUACACACGUCAUGAAUCUCUUUAUCUUUUUCCCUUACUCAUGUGCCAAUAACCUGCAAUAAUAAACUAAAGUCUUCAAUACAUAAGGAGUGAAACACGAUUUCGAUUCAAAUAAUUACUGUACGGGCAUUUUAAAAUUAAGUCCUGUGUACUCUAUAAUGGAAGUGUGCGCUGUUUUAAAUAGCCAUGGAUAUUGUAUAGUUUGGGUUGCCGUCAUUAUUUACGUGUUUGAAUAUCAAGGCAAGUUGUUUUGAUUAUGCACAAUGAUUUAUGUUUUUCUUUUAGAGAAUUAUGAUAUUCAUAAUCUACUUACACAUAGUAUUUAAUUUUAUGACAUGUUUGUUUAAAAUUUUACAUACAGAUCUAGCCAGCAACAUGACCUUUUUAUCUUUAUAUUUUUGUAAGAAAUGAGUAUACAGUUUCAAGAUAAAGCCAAGAUUUUCCUACUUGGACUGUGUCAAUUGGUUAACCCUUAAGUGUCUUGACAUCAUAGAAAAUUAAUGAUUUGUUUAUAAUUCUCAUGUUUGUUUAGUGUGUGUAAAAUAUGGUUUUUACAUUGGGUUCUUUAAUUGUUGAAAAAAUAGAGGUUUGGCAAUAAAAUAUUCAAAUAUUCCUGUGGUAUCAAAUUUAUUUACACGAUAUAAGUCUACAGUUGUCACCUUAUUAAAAGUGACAAAAAGAUUGUACUUUCAGAUUAUCUGAAUUUUAAUAUUUUAUACAGUAUUUGUAAUCUUGAGAAAAUAAUCCUAAAAUUGUAAUAAUAGGGGAAACGAGGGACAAUUUUAUGUCGACAUUUAAAUUGAAGUAUUUAUUGUGUUGUAUUUUUGCUUUUCUCUACAAAGUUUUUGGCAAAUGUCAAAAGCCUCUUUAUCCAGUCGAAUUAUUCAAACAUUGGUGCAACGUGGGAAAAAUUAAUAUUGAACGUGGUCGUAUGGCAAUCCUACAGCGUUAGGUACAUUAUUGAUUGUUCUUAAUUAUGUGAAGUGAAGGCAGUGUUAAUUCCUUAACUUUCAUGAUGGAAUUUAACUUUAUAUUUUGAAGUAUAUAUUAUGUAUAUAGAAUGGUAAAGCAGAUUAAUAUUAUUAAUGUAUUUUCCUUAAAGCAGAAAUGUAAAAAUGUGGAUAUAUUUAUGUAUUUUAAUCACAAAGCCAUUAUUUUUGCCAUUAAGUGCUAAAAUCCUUUACAUGCUGUUUCACUAUCUCUCAUACUUCCACAUAUCAAAAAGAGCUCUUUAUGAUCCAAGACUUGGAGUUUAUAAAGAGAUUACAUGCAAGAUUGUAUUAUCAGGGAUAAUAUAAAAAAUAAACACUAUGGAAAAGGGGGUUUGAACAGAUCUGAUGACCAUGCUAAGAUCUAUUUUCAUAUGAACCUCACAAAUUUUCCACUGCCUACACCAGUACUAACACAUUCUCUGGGAAAACACACUUAUGGUGGUACUUGUAUUAUUGUUGCGUAUUAUCGAACCACCGCAAGUCUUUGUUAUUUUGUUGACAAGGCCAUUUUUAUUUAAGUUUUUUGAUAAAUGUUGUACCUAUGUGAAAAAAGGCAGAGUAGCCAGGUUCUCUUUAUUGUCAUAACUAGUUAUUGGUGUAUAAAUGUAAGCAAAUUUAUUGCAUCUUCAGAGUUCGUGAGUGUAGCCUAAUGAAAUUGCACUUUUGCCUAUCUGUAGUUUAUUUUACUGAUCAUUAAAAGCCAAUGUAAUAUUACAUUUUUCUAAUGGUGAAAUUGAAAGUAGACUGCUAGAAGAUUGGUUUAAAAACUGUUUAUAGCUUUAAAAAAUGGGAAUACAAGAUAAUUUAGGAACUAUGGAACUACACAAGCGAUCUCUGAUACUAAGUGUAUAGUGAAAAUUCAGUGCUGUAGAUACUGUUGCCAGGCUAGGUGAGGAUGUUUGAAAGCGUUAAUGGGUCAGCUUUCAAGGAAUAUCUGGCAAAUGCAAAUAGUUUCUAAAAUUUUACUUGGGGACCUUAAUACUUGCAUGUGUAAAUAAUAUAUAUAUAUAUAUAUAUAUAGGUAUAUAUCAAGAACACUUAAUUGUGCUUCGUUGACAUGAAGUUUCAGCAUUCUUUAAUGUCAAUGACGGUAUAGUUCAUGAAGGGUCAACAUUUGUAUGUAUAUAGAGGCAUUCCUUGAUGACUGAGUAUUCCCAUGAUUGUUGCUGUUAAGUACUAUACAUUCCACAGUUGGUUUUUUCCUAAUGUUUGUAGUUAACUAUUUAUUUGUAUGUAGUUAUUAUAAUAUUUAUUCGGUAGGAAAAGUAACGUUACGUUAAUUUUGGUUUUGUUCCUUUUAGAGGCCUGUGGUGUGAAGUUAGGUGGAUAAAUAAAAAUGUGGCCACACCCUUGUUAUAUGUAGUUCUGUCACAGUAUACUCUUAAUACUUUCAUUCAUCCUCUUCCGAGUUAUUUCUUAGUGAAAGUGUUCUUUAAUUAGGAAUCAAAUUGGAUUUGAUUAGAUUGUACAGAUCUUAAUGGAAAUACAUAUUACACUGAUUUGUGAAGGUGUAGAUUCUCUUAAGUUACUGCUCAGUACUGUACAUCAUUACAGCUCUGGACUUGUGCUGCGAAUCAACGAAUCUAAUUUUUUUAUGCUCACAAGACCUGUGCUGUAUGGAAAAAAGUACCAGGUACCUUGACUGAUACUUCUACUUAUCCUAGGCCCUUUAUUGUGUUAGUUUUCGGAUAUUGUGUAUGUGAACUUUGAUUUGAGUUCAUGUGUGUACCUUCAUCCAUAAUGGAAUGUAUUGUAAUGCACACAAUAAACCAAAAGUGCU